GGGCACAUCCUCGAUCUCCUCCACUCCACCGCCACCGCCAACACCACCGCCCAACCCCCAAUGGCAUCGCCCCGCCGCCGCUCCCUCCCGCUCCGCUUCCUCCUCCUCAUCAUCCCCGUCCCCCUCUUCCUCGUCCUCGUCCUCCUCCACCGCUCCACUCAUCCCACCGCCACGCUCCUCCGCAUCGCCGGCUCCGGCCCCAGCCCCGACCCCCGCCGCUUCUCCCUCCUCAUCAAACUCCUCGCCUACGACCGCCCUGCCUCACUCCGCCGCUGCCUCCGCUCCCUCGCCGCCGCGGACUACGACGGGGACCGCGUCGCGCUCCACGUCCUCCUCGACCACCGCCAGCCCAACUCCUCGCUGCCCUCCCUCGCCGCCUCGCACGAGAUCCUUGACUUCGUCGACGCGUUCCCGUGGCCGCACGGCGAGAAGCGCGUGCACUACCGCGCCGCCAACGCGGGGCUCCAGGCGCAGUGGAUCGAGGCGUGGUGGCCCGGCUCCGACGACGAGUUCGCCUUCGUCGUGGAGGACGACCUCCAGGUCUCGCCGCUCUACUAUAGAUUCCUCAAGCGGGUCGUUGUGAAGUACUACUACGACCGUGAGAACUACAGCCCCUACGUGUUCGGCGCGUCGCUGCAGCGACCUCGGUUUGUUGCAGGUAAACAUGGAAACAAGAUACAGCUGGACAGUGAGACUCGGCUUUUCUUGUAUCAGAUGGUAGGUACCUGGGGCCAACUUCUCUUUCCAAAACCAUGGAAAGAAUUUCGACUAUGGUACGAUGAACACAAAGCCAAAGGACUCAAGCCUAUUCUCCAAGGCAUGAAAACUACAGGAUGGUAUAAAAAGAUGGGUGAGAGAAUAUGGACCCCUUGGUUCAUUAAAUUUGUGCAUUCACGAGGAUACUUCAAUAUCUACACAAACUUCCUGAUGGAAAGGGCUCUCAGUGUCUCUCAUAGGGAUGCAGGUGUGAACUAUGGGAAAAGUGUUGGGCCAGAUUCUACUUUGUUGGAUGGGAAGAAUCUUGAUUUCAAUUUAUGGGAAUUGCAGCCUCUAAAGAAGCUAAGGUGGUAUGAUUUUUGCUUUGAUGAAGUUCUUCCAGGAAGAGUUGUUAGAAAAUUUAGUGAACUUGUUUCCGUGCUCAAAUUGGUGCCACUAAAAAGUACUGUUGUACUUAUAAGUUUGUACUCAGUAGAAGAGAGAUUUGCAAGAAACUUGAUUUGCCAUCUUGACAAGGCAGACAUGCAGAACUACAUUUUUCUUGGUGAUGAUUCAGAGUUUCUGGAUGAUAUUGCUCAUAGAGGAUAUCCCGUCAUUAAUGGUAUUGAAUUUCUUCAGAGCAUCAAAAUGAAUGGUUUUGUGGGCUCUGAUGAUUUUGCUAAGCAAACAUUGGUUAAAUCUUAUGUGAUAAAAGCUUGCUUGGACCUAGGCUAUAAUCUAUGGCUGCUAAAUGGGAAUAUGAUUUCACUUGGCACUAAGUUGAUCGAACCAUCAGAUCAGUCAGCUGACUUCUUUACAGCAGAUGUAGGGUUGGUAUUUAUAAGGAGCUCACUGGAGUCGAAAAAUGCUUGGAGUGAACUUACUAUGUCGAGAGUUCAAACGAUGUGUACUUCUAGUGAGUUUUCUGCUUCCCUCAAACAGAAGAGUUUUGUUCGUAUGCUGACCGAAGUGUUGGCAAGCAGUGCUCAUGCUAGACUGGGAAAACUGGAUGAGGGGAUCAGAGUUAUUGAAUUAGGGCCUAACACCUCAAGCAAAUCAAUAUCAGAAGGUCAAAGUGAUGUACUUUUCUGGUCUCACAGUAUGGCUUCAGAUUCAGUUCAAAAGCAACUUGAAAAUAUGGAUUUAUGGUUGAUUGACUCAGAUUUGUCUUGUAGCACUGUUGUUUGUCACCAAAAGCAGAGGUGAUUUGCUCAGAAAAACAUUGAUGCAUUCUCAAAGGGGUCCAAGGAAACAGGGUGAUUUGCUCCUACUUUGCAAAAUAUGUGAUGACAUUUAUCUUAGGAUGCGUCAGGAUCAGCCAUUGUGUGAUCUUUUGUAGAUUAUAUGACCUUGAAGCUGUGCAAUCAAAUGUGUCUGUUGUUGAUUACAGUUGGUUAUGCCACUGAAGAUAACCAUUUUGGAGUUCUGCUUCUGUCAUGAACAAUGUUCCGGACAAGCUAUAACUUUAAGGUCUUGUAUACCUGGAUGUUUUAUUGGUUUGGUGAGGGAAAAGUAUUUAGUUGGCUAAGCAGCUACUUCUACUCGCGGGGAUAGUUUUGGAUAUGCUAUCGACGCUGUGGACAAUGUCGAUAGCAAUGACCCAACUACGAUCCCUGCAAACACUAAAUCAUGGGAGGCUGAAAACGAGCAAUGAUAUUGCAAAGGAUCCAGAGCACGCGAUGCCCCCCCUACGGGAUGGAUUUUUUUUUAGGGGUCAAUGGAGGGGGAGAGAAUCCCCCACCUGAUUCAUUCAUUUGGGUCUAAAAGACCUGAUCGUUUACAAAGGCUACAAAUUUUGGAAGGCUCAUUGCCAAAGAAAAGAUUGAGCACCACUGAUCACCCAGAAGAUAACUGUGGCACGGGCAUGAGAUUAAUCUGUGACAGGAUAAAAUGUAGGCAAUAUCAAGAAUCAGCAUAGCAGGCUUGAGUGGUAGAUUGCUAACUCUAACUACAACAUCCUCGUGUAAAUACAGCAAGGACUCAGGCACUCAGAAUUCCCUUAAUGACCCUGCGGCCUCAGUUCGGACCUUUGCUUCGGCGGCGGAAGCCUUCCGCCAUGGACGGGGAAGACAAAGCAAAGCAGUCGAGCUGAGGGAGGUUGCGUUGAGGCCCACCUGUCUGUCAGAGUACCAAGGAACGGCGAUUUUUAAUCUUUAUUGGGAAUGACUUGGAAUUCAUCCCAUUUCAUUUUUAUUCAGACCAAAUUCAUGUCAAGAUGUAUUUACAUGAAUUUGGUCCUCCUUACAUGUACUGCAACAGUUUUCUGAUGAAAGAAAAUCUUGCAGCUUGUCUUUUUAGCUACAAUAUUCUCUGCUUCUUCAAUAUAUGCACCAGAUGCUUCCAUU